rnacentral:rRNA from 1 species
GAUGAACGCUGGCGGCGUGCCUAACACAUGCAAGUAGAACGGUGAAGGAGGAGCUUGCUCUUCUGGACGAGUUGCGAACGGGUGAGUAACGCGUAGGUAACCUGCCUGGUAGCGGGGGAUAACUAUUGGAAACGAUAGCUAAUACCGCAUGACAGCAGUUAUUGCAUGAUAAGUGUUUAAAAGGUGCAACUGCUCCACUACCAGAUGGACCUGCGUUGUAUUAGCUAGUUGGUGAGGUAACGGCUCACCAAGGCGACGAUACAUAGCCGACCUGAGAGGGUGAUCGGCCACACUGGGACUGAGACACGGCCCAGACUCCUACGGGAGGCAGCAGUAGGGAAUCUGCGGCAAUGGACGGAAGUCUGACCGAGCAACGCCGCGUGAGUGAAGAAGGUUUUCGGAUCGUAAAGCUCUGUUGUAAGGGAAGAACGAGUGUGAGAGUGGAAAGUUCACACUGUGACGGUAUCUUACCAGAAAGGGACGGCUAACUACGUG